UGCGCCAGAGACUGGGCCGGGAGCCGCCAGGAAUGCCGGCUGGACUGCUCGCUGGAUGUCCGACAACCCUAAAGGAUCAGAGAAGUUGAGUGACUUGUAUACUAGCUAAUCAUCGUUGGAGGUGGCUGAGCUGCAGAAGCAGAUA